rnacentral:tRNA from 1 species
GGCCUUGUGGCGGAACUGGCAGACGCGCUGGAUUUAGGUUCCAGUGCCCGAAAGGGCGUGGGGGUUCGACUCCCCCCGAGGCCA